ACGAACGCUGGCGGCGUGCUUAACCCAUGCAAGUCGAACGGAAAGGCCCUGCUUUUGUGGGGUGCUCGAGUGGCGAACGGGUGAGUAACACGUGAGUAACCUGCCCUUGACUUUGGGAUAACUUCAGGAAACUGGGGCUAAUACCGGAUAGGAGCUCCUGCUGCAUGGUGGGGGUUGGAAAGUUUCGGCGGUUGGGGAUGGACUCGCGGCUUAUCAGCUUGUUGGUGGGGUAGUGGCUUACCAAGGCUUUGACGGGUAGCCGGCCUGAGAGGGUGACCGGCCACAUUGGGACUGAGAUACGGCCCAGACUCCUACGGGAGGCAGCAGUGGGGAAUAUUGCACAAUGGGCGGAAGCCUGAUGCAGCAACGCCGCGUGCGGGAGGACGGCCUUCGGGUUGUAAACCGCUUUCGCCUGUGACGAAGCGUGAGUGACGGUAAUGGGUAAAGAAGCACCGGCUAACUACGU
rnacentral:rRNA from 1 species